rnacentral:rRNA from 1 species
GACGAACGCUGGCGGCGUGCUUAACACAUGCAAGUCGAACGGGAAGGCCCUGCUUUUGUGGGGUGCUCGAGUGGCGAACGGGUGAGUAACACGUGAGUAACCUGCCCUUGACUUUGGGAUAACUUCAGGAAACUGGGGCUAAUACCGGAUAGGAGCUCCUGCUGCAUGGUGGGGGUUGGAAAGUUUCGGCGGUUGGGGAUGGACUCGCGGCUUAUCAGCUUGUUGGUGGGGUAGUGGCUUACCAAGGCUUUGACGGGUAGCCGGCCUGAGAGGGUGACCGGCCACAUUGGGACUGAGAUACGGCCCAGACUCCUACGGGAGGCAGCAGUGGGGAAUAUUGCACAAUGGGCGGAAGCCUGAUGCAGCAACGCCGCGUGCGGGAUGACGGCCUUCGGGUUGUAAACCGCUUUCGCCUGUGACGAAGCGUGAGUGACGGUAAUGGGUAAAGAAGCACCGGCUAACUACGUGCCAGCAGCCGCGGUGAUACGUAGGGUGCGAGCGUUGUCCGGAUUUAUUGGGCGUAAAGGGCUCGUAGGUGGUUGAUCGCGUCGGAAGUGUAAUCUUGGGGCUUAACCCUGAGCGUGCUUUCGAUACGGGUUGACUUGAGGAAGGUAGGGGAGAAUGGAAUUCCUGGUGGAGCGGUGGAAUGCGCAGAUAUCAGGAGGAACACCAGUGGCGAAGGCGGUUCUCUGGGCCUUUCCUGACGCUGAGGAGCGAAAGCGUGGGGAGCGAACAGGCUUAGAUACCCUGGUAGUCCACGCUGUAAACGGUGGGUACUAGGUGUGGGGUCCAUUCCACGGGUUCCGUGCCGUAGCUAACGCUUUAAGUACCCCGCCUGGGGAGUACGGCCGCAAGGCUAAAACUCAAAGGAAUUGACGGGGCCCCGCACAAGCGGCGGAGCAUGCGGAUUAAUUCGAUGCAACGCGUAGAACCUUACCUGGGUUUGACAUGGAUCGGGAGUGCUCAGAGAUGGGUGUGCCUCUUUUGGGGUCGGUUCACAGGUGGUGCAUGGCUGUCGUCAGCUCGUGUCGUGAGAUGUUGGGUUAAGUCCCGCAACGAGCGCAACCCUUGUUCACUGUUGCCAGCACGUUAUGGUGGGGACUCAGUGGAGACCGCCGGGGUCAACUCGGAGGAAGGUGGGGAUGACGUCAAGUCAUCAUGCCCCUUAUGUCCAGGGCUUCACGCAUGCUACAAUGGCUGGUACAGAGAGUGGCGAGCCUGUGAGGGUGAGCGAAUCUCGGAAAGCCGGUCUCAGUUCGGAUUGGGGUCUGCAACUCGACCUCAUGAAGUCGGAGUCGCUAGUAAUCGCAGAUCAGCAACGCUGCGGUGAAUACGUCCCCGGGGCU